CCUACGGGGGACAGCAGUGAGGAAUAUUGGUCAAUGGGCGCGAGCCUGAACCAGCCAAGUAGCGUGAAGGAUGACUGCCCUACGGGUUGUAAACUUCUUUUAUAAAGGAAUAAAGUGAGGCACGUGUGCCUUUUUGUAUGUACCUUAUGAAUAAGGAUCGGCUAACUCCGUGCCAGCAGCCGCGGUAAUACGGAGGAUCCGAGCGUUAUCCGGAUUUAUUGGGUUUAAAGGGAGCGUAGAUGGGUUGUUAAGUCCGUUGUGAACGUUUGCGGCUCAACCGUAAAAUUGCCAUUGAUACUGGCAGUCUUGAGUGCAGUUGAGGUAGGCGGAAUUCGUGGUGUAGCGGUGAAAUGCUUAGAUAUCACGAAGAACUCCGAUUGCGAAGGCAGCUUACUAGACUGCCACUGACAUUGAUGCUCGAAAGUGUGGGUAUCAAACAGGAUUAGCUACCCUAGUAGUC
rnacentral:rRNA from 1 species